rnacentral:rRNA from 1 species
UACGUAGGGGGCUAGCGUUAUCCGGAAUUACUGGGCGUGAAGGGUGCGUAGGUGGUUUCUUAAGUCAGAGGUGAAAGGCUACGGCUCAACCGUAGUAAGCCUUUGAAGCUGGGGAACUUGAGUGCAGGAGAGGAGAGUGGAAUUCCUAGUGUAGCGGUGAAAUGCGUAGAUAUUAGGAGGAACACCAGUUGCGAAGGCGGCUCUCUGGACUGUAACUGACACUGAGGCACGAAAGCGUGGGGAGCAAACAGG